rnacentral:rRNA from 1 species
AAUGAACGCUAGCGGGAUGCUUUAUACAUGCAAGUCGAACGAGGGGCGGACGGGAGAGUAAUAUAUCGGAACUGGCCCAGUAGCGGGGGUUAACUACUCGAAAGAGUGGCUAAAACCGCAUAGUUUUGGUGCGCGCGGUAUCGGAUUCGCUAGUGGGUGGGGUAAAGGCUCACCAAGGCCACGAUCCGUAGCUGGUUUGAGAGGACGACGAGCCACAUUGGGACUGAGACACGGCCCAGACUCCUACGUGAGGCAGCAGUGGGGAAUUUUGGACAAUGGGGGAAACCCUGAUCCAGCCAUCCCGCGUGUAUGAGAAGGCCUUCGGGUUGUAAAGUACUUUUGGCAGAGAAGCGGUAUCUGCAGAAUAAGCACCGGCUAACUACGUGCCAGCAGCCGCGGUAAUUC